UUUUAGGCAAACGCUGCAUAUUUAUUAAUGUGUAGAGGAAAGUCCAUGCUCGCACUAUCCUGAGAUGGAAGUAGUGUUCGUGCUAGAGGAAUAAAUAACUCUAGGUAGUUUUACUAACGGCUUCGAAAUAACCUUAAAUGGUUAAAUUAGAUAUAAAAGUGCCAAAGAGACGAGUAUAUUUGGAAACGAAUAUAGUGGAACGUGGUAAACCCCGCGAGCGAGAAACCCAAAAUUUGGUAGGGGAAUCUUUACGAAAGAACUUGAAUGGAGUAAAGGACAGUUUACUGUAGAUAAAUGUUUGCCACCUAGAAAUAGGUACAGAACAUGGCUUAUU
rnacentral:RNase_P_RNA from 1 species